UUGGUAUGACAUCAUACAGCCUUAUAUGACUUCUUAUUUUGUCAAAUAUAUGUUUUAGAGGCAUAAAUCACUUCAUAUUAAUUUAUAUUAACAUAAAUGACUCUCGAUUACUUAAUAAAACUACAUAAAUAAUAGCUAUUGCUUCUUCUUCUUAACGAUAUUGCUGAAAUUAAGCUUUUUUUUUCUAUCAGUGCAACAUGAAGUAAUAAUACUAUUAUGAAAAAUCAU
rnacentral:lncRNA from 1 species